GAAGGGCUGAAGAUUUCAAACAAAAGAAACUGAUGCAGAAGGGUGCAGCUUUGGAGUCAAGAAUGAAGUUCUAGGAGAUAAGAGAGCAAGGAAAUGGUGGGAGAGGAGGUCAAAAAAUACUAGGCUUUAGAAUUUCACCUUAUGAAUUUUGGGAGAGAGGAGCACAGUUCAGCCCAUAACUAACACACGACGGAAUGAAGUUGAUAAUAGUGAGACCUUGUUGGUACAAGACUCUGUAACAUAACCUGCGCUUCUCAACAAAGAAUUGCUUUUCUGACUUCUGCACUCAAUAGCAAGACAAAUCUCUCCUCUGUCUUUUUCUUAUCAGACUACUCAACAUGAAGGCAAUAAGAAUGAAGACCUUUAUGUAUAAUAAUUGACUUCCACUUAAUAAAUAUCCCCACUUUUGUUCCAAGAGCAACACGUUGUCCUGGAUAGCUAACGUGUUUAUGAAUGCAAGGAAAUUUUCAAAAAGAGAGUUUGAAAUUUAACUCCACAAACUACUAUCUGGAUUGGAACGCUACAUUAAAUGUAUUAUAAUUUUGUAUGGACAUAUAAGGAUGGGGAAUGAAAAGGAUCCAAGGCCAUAUGUUGAUAAUCUUUUGAUAUGUUAAGAAAUAAUCUAGUGUUAUUUUCUAUUUCUUCUCAAAUGUUUUUA
rnacentral:lncRNA from 1 species